rnacentral:rRNA from 1 species
UACAGAGGGGGCAAGCGUUGUUCGGAAUUACUGGGCGUAAAGGGCGCGUAGGCGGCCUGCUAAGUCGAACGUGAAAUCCCCGGGCUCAACCCGGGAACUGCGUCCGAUACUGGUUGGCUUGAAUCCGGGAGAGGGAUGCGGAAUUCCAGGUGUAGCGGUGAAAUGCGUAGAUAUCAGGAGGAACACCAAUGGCGAAGGCAGCUCACUGGGACGGUAUUGACGCUGAGACGCGAAAGCGUGGGGAGCAAACAGG